UGCCCGAUAGUAUAAUGGUAGUACGACAGAUUUUGGUUCUGUUUGUCUAGGUUCGAAUCCUGGUCGGGCAACAA
rnacentral:tRNA from 3 species